rnacentral:rRNA from 1 species
UACGUAGGGCGCAAGCGUUGUCCGGAAUUAUUGGGCGUAAAGAGCUCGUAGGCGGCGUGUCGCGUCGGUUGUGAAAGCCCGGGGCUUAACUUCGGGUCUGCAGUCGAUACGGGCAUGCUUGAGUUCGGUAGGGGAGAUCGGAAUUCCUGGUGUAGCGGUGAAAUGCGCAGAUAUCAGGAGGAACACCGGUGGCGAAGGCGGAUCUCUGGGCCGAUACUGACGCUGAGGAGCGAAAGCGUGGGGAGCGAACAGG